UACGGGGGGGGGCAAGCGUUGUUCGGAAUUACUGGGCGUAAAGGGCUCGUAGGUGGCCAACUAAGUCAGACGUGAAAUCCCUCGGCUUAACCGGGGAACUGCGUCUGAUACUGGAUGGCUUGAGUUUGGGAGAGGGACGCGGAAUUCCAGGUGUAGCGGUGAAAUGCGCAGAUAUCAGGAAGAACACCCGUGGCGAAGGCGGUUCUCUGGGACGGUACUGACGCUGAGACGCGAAAGCGUGGGGAGGCGAACAGG
rnacentral:rRNA from 1 species